rnacentral:rRNA from 1 species
GAUGAACGCUAGCGACAGGCUUAACACAUGCAAGUCGAGGGGCAGCAUAGAAGUAGCAAUACUUUGGUGGCGACCGGCGCACGGGUGAGUAACGCGUAUGCAACCUACCUAUCAGAGGGGAAUAACCCGGCGAAAGUCGGACUAAUACCGCAUAAAACAGGGGCACCGCAUGGUGAUAUUUGUUAAAGAAAUUCGCUGAUAGAUGGGCUUGCGUUCCAUUAGGUAGUUGGUGAGGUAACGGCUCACCAAGCCGACGAUGGAUAGGGGAACUGAUAGGUUGGUCCCCCACACUGGUACUGAGACACGGACCAGACCCCUACGGGAGGCAGCAGUGAGGAAUAUUGGUCAAUGGGCGGGAGCCUGAACCAGCCAAGUCGCGUGAAGGAAGAAGGAUCUAUGGCUCGUAAACUUCUUUUGCAGGGGAAUAAAGUGCAGGACGUGUCCUGUUUUGUAUGUGCCCUGAGAAUAAGGAUCGGCUAACUCCGUGCCAGCCACCGCAGUAAUAC